GUUAGUGCGCAGGCGUAGCAUGAAGGUCGGGCCCGGGAAGCGGGUCGUUCUUCGCGGAAAGUCUGUUGUAGAGUCUGUGCCCGGGGUGAGAGGCAAUGGGAGGGCUGGAUAUCAUCAGAACACCCCACGAUCCUCUGCCUUCACUCGAGGUGUGAUGACGUACUGACUGUGUGUUAGAAGGAGCUAGCCGCACUUUUUCUCACACCACAUUCCCUUUUGGUUUCUACAAGAAUUGACUGUGCAAGAAAGAGAGAAGAACAUCUCUGGUAACUAAGAUCAGAUACUAGAAGGAGAGGAUGUACAAAUGAAAAACCCAAAUAUCAUGAUCUGACAGUGAUGCUCAGUUCCUCAGGAUCUAAAUAUCAACGGCCUUUGAUCGUGGAAACAGAAUGCACCAUUCACAGUGGGAAGAAACUGUACACAUGUUCUGUGCGCGCAAGAGCCUACAGUGGAUCAUUUGGAUUUUCAAAACACAAGCGGAGUCACAUUGGGAAUAAACCAUGUAAAUGUGGGGACUAUGGGAAAGGAUUCAAUUAUCCCUAUGAGCUAGAAUGUCAUCGAUGCAGUCAUACAGGGGAAGGUCAUUCUGCUGAUUGAAUGCUGUAAAGUAUUUGUUUAUUUAUCUACCCUGCUGACACACCAGCAGGUUCACAAUGGAGAGAGGCCAUUGACCUGUUGUGUGUGUGGGAAGAGAUGCAUGUUUUUGUCUGUGAUGCUGAGACACCAGCAAGCUCUCAAUGAUGAGAGACAAUAUCAAUGCUCUGACUGGGAUAAGAGCUUUAAAUGUCCAUAUUGACUGAGAGAGCACCGGUACAUUCCCAUUAAGUACUCCCCAUUCCAAUGUUCUCACUGCAGCAAGAGAUUCAGGCGAUCAUCCAGUCUGUUGAUACAUCAGCGAUGGGGAGAGACCUUUCGCUUGCUCUGUGUGUGGGAAGGGAUUCAUUAAUUCAUCCAACCUGCUGAUACACUGGCGAGUCCACGGUGGGGAUAAACCCUUUCAAAUGCCUAGACUGUGGGAAGUGUGAUAAAAGUUCUAGGGUUCUGGCUCACCAUCAAACUGCUCACACUGAUGAAAGAUCAUUUAAAUGCACUCGCUGUGGGAGUGGAUUCCGGCGAUCAUCUGAUCUCUCACUACACCAGUGGGUUCAUACUGGGAAGAGGCCAUUCACCUGCUCCUUGUGUGGGAAGAGAUUUGCUCAUUUCUGCAACCUACGGAAACACCAAUGUUUUCACAAGUGACUGCAAAGAUUGGAUUCUGCUGUUAUUGUUAAUUAGAUCCAACACUGAACCAUGUUCAUUCGGACAGUUGCAAUCUGUUUCUGAUGAUUUUAAUCAUCUCCAGCCCAGCUCUGGUUGUUGGAAUUCUGGAUAAGUGUCAAAGUGUGUCAAGCCUUUCCUUGGAUAGCAAGAAGCUUUUUCCCAGAGUGGGGGACUCAAUUACUAGGGGUCACGAUUUCAAGGACAAGUUGAUUCCUUUUGAAUAACCUCUUUGUUGUUUCACAACAAUCAGUGUGUGCACAGCAAAAUCCAGCAAACAGCAAUGAGAUAAGUAACGAUUUAAUCAAGUUUUUUUUGGUGGUAAUGUUAUUUAAAACAGUAAAGUUAGUCCCAUUACAGAACCUCCCUGUGGACAGUGUGUAGAAUUUUUGAGGUCUCCUGAUGUGAAAGUGGAGCUGAUUUGAGAUGUUUGGUCUGCAAUGUACCUUGAAGGACUGCUAUGUGGGAUAAAAUUGUAGAAUCCCUACAUUGUGGAAGCAGGCAUUCAGCCCAUACUGACGUUCUGAAACGCAUCCCACCCUAUCCUUGUAACCUUGCAUUCCCCAUGGCUAAUCCACUUAACCUACACAUCCUUGGACUGUGGGAGGAAACCAGAGGAAACCCACACAGACACAGACACAGGGAGAAUGUGCAAGCUGCAAACAGGCAGCGACUCAAGGGUGGAAUUGAACCUGGGUCGCUAGCGCUGUGAGGCAAUAGUGCUAGCCACUGUGCCAGCUCUUUCCUUCAUUCACUGAUUCAGCUGAAUUUGUUUCUUCACUUUAAACAUCAAUUCCACUUUAAUCUAUGGAGCAAAUCUACAAACCAGCUGCAAUCAGUAUGGCCACCCAAUCUUUUUCUUCCCUUUCCUGUAUGCGAACAAGAACUAUCUUGUUCCCGUGCAAGUUUUAGCCACAAAUCUCGUUAUUGAUGCAGCUUAGAUUCUGCUUUGUUCCAAUGAAAAUUCUUCCAGUUUUUCUUCUGUCUCAUCAUGGGUAAGUGAAGUUGGUGGCUUCAGAGCAGAAUGAGACACCCUGAGAAACAGUUCAUUCCACAAUGAGCUGGUGUAAUCUGGAAUGCAGUGUCUGAAGGUUUGGUGCUGGAACAGGUACUUUGAAAAGGAAAUUGGAUAAGUGCUUGAAAGAAAGGCUGAUGGGGAAACAGUAGUGGAGUGGGCAGAGUUAGAGACUCAAAAGUCACUUCAGCUGCAGAUGGGUUGCCAUGACAACAGUGGUAAAACAUUCCAUUCCAUUGACUCAUGGGAAACGAAGGUAAAAUCUUAAGGUGCUUGGAUAUUGAAGAAAAUUGAGGCAUGAGGAGAAAGUAAGUGGUUAAUAUCUCAGUUCUGAGGAAGGGUCACCGGACCUGAAACAUUAUCUCUGUUUUUUCCUUCACAGAUGCUGCCAGACCUGCUGAGCUUUUCCAGCAACUUUGUUUUUGUUGUGGUUAAUAUCUGGAAUGUGCUGCCUGAGAGGGUGGUCAAGGCAGAAUCAAUUGAGAUAUUCAAAGUGAAAUUGGUUUAUUAUCUGAGUAGGAAGAAGCUGUAGGAAUUUCACUUGUGAAUUUCUCAGUCAGAGAGGCACCCAGUGUUACAGGAAGGAGUUGAGGGAUUGAAGCUCGGUGAAUUGAUGAUUAAGACAGCAUCCUACAGCAGCCAAAAUGCCCAGUUCCUCCCAGAUGUAAUGGGAAGAAGCAGCAAAAUUGACACUGAAUUGAUACCUCAUUCAGAAAGCUAGCACAGAUGGUUAACUGGUACCAAUGCUUUCUUUUCCCCCGACGAUCUUAUUGCUGCCACAGUAGGGACAUUGUAAAAUGGAGGUUGGUGCUUGUUCACCUGUAGCUGCCACAGUGCAGUUUCUGUUCUGCAACCUCUGAUCUGAGCUGAAUGGCCUGAAAGCUUACUGUUGCCCUGCUCUUACUUGUAAUGUUUGGGCCCACCACCUUCCUUAGUGGAUCAGGUGAAAAACAUUGUUCAUCUGACGUGACAUGUGUGUGUCUCUCGCGGUGUUGUCUGUGCUUGUCAGGGCUGACCUCACAGUAAUCCUCCCUGCAGCAUGAUUGCGAGGCUUCACCUCAAAGCCCUUCACCCGCUGCUGCUCAUCUUGUCAUCAGGCAUUUUCUUGCUGCUAACCACCAUUUCUCUGGGUGUGGUCACCCCCUGACUCCAAGUCUGAAUAUUGCUAGCAGCUUCUGAGAGCUUGGGACAGAAUGGACAGAACACAAUACCAUUGAAAACUAGCAUCAUUGUUUACUAUAAAUCAUGUACAAAAGCAUCUGAUGGGUAGAAUGGUUUCCUCCUGUGUUGCAAUAACAUUUCAUGUCUUCUUAAAUGUAUUUAUUUUUCUUUAUUCUAGUAUCUCACAAAAUACAACAGGGAUUUCCUGUAGGUCCUUCUUUAUCUGGAGAUUAUAUAUAAUUAUAAUUAUAAUUAUAAUUAUAUAUAAUCUCUUAUAUAAUUGUAACUGAGGUUAACAGGCUCAUGUGAACUCUCCAUCUGCUAUUUAAGGCAGACUUUAAACAAUUUCAAGCAGGUCUGUUUUAAGAGUUAACACCAGCUUUGAGGUGGUGGUUACUUUGUAGUGGGUAGUCGGUUAAAGACUGGAUAUUUAAACCUGUUGCUUUACUUUCAGGCAGGGACAGAUCACAGUUUGACACCAGUCUCUGAUUUGACAGCGUGUUUCCAGCAUUCAUUGUUGUUCUUCCUGACUCUAAGCAUCAUCGUAAAGGAGCUUCUGUUCUGUAUCGAAGAGACUGAACCAUUGAAAAGUGCAGCUGGGAAUCAUUUCUUCCACCUCAGGAUUAACCCACAUGGAGACUUUGCUGUCAGAGAAGAGAGAUGAGAAAGAUCAAAGUGCUAUUUGUCCCUUUCAUUGUGACUCUGAAGAACUAUGUCCAGGCUGAAAUUCUGUUGCUGCCAUUGAUCCCUCCCCAGAUUAUCGUUUCUGCGCUCCAGCAGGUGCUCAGUUAAACACUUCGAUAGGAAAGAAAAAUCCACAGCAAUGUAUUUAAGUAAAGCUGAAUUAUUAACCAUGUAUCCAAAAUAUCAAGUUACAGCCUGGUUACAAAAAAAUGUUAAUAUGGACAGAAGCAAACCUCAACUAUCAGAACAUUAUUCAGUCCUGGCUGUGAGUAACAGCAGAAUCCAACCCCUGCAGUCACUGGUGAACUCACAAGUGCCUCAGUCGGCGGAAUGACUGAGUGACUAUCGUCCCUAACACCAAGCAGGUGAACAGCUUCUCACAGUGUCAGUGGGUUUGUGGGACAGCAAUUCCAUUUUGUUUUACAUAUCUGACCACAGAAUGUUGAAAAGUUUACUUAUCAAAAUGUGCAAGUUGCUGGAAAAUGAAUUGGAUGACCAAUUCGAAUCUUUUGUCACACACAGAACAGAUGAUGGUUUUCUCCCUGGUGUGCAUUUGCUGGUGGGUAAUGAGUUCACAUCAUCCUUUACAGCCAAUCUCACUGUUAGAUACUCUCUUGUCUGUGUGAACACAUUGAUAGCACAUCACAUCCUGCAAUCAAUCAUUUAAAGGCUCUUCUGCCAAUGAGAACUUUGUGGUGUGUCCACAGAAUUGUAAUCAAUAUGAGAAUCAGGUGUUAUGGGGAUAAGGAAGGAAAGUGGAAUUGAGGAUGAUCAGAUCAACCAUGAUCUCUUUUGGUGGUGGAAGACUUGAUGGGCUGAAUGGCCUACUUCUGCUCCUAUGCCUUGUGUCCAUUUUGCAGCACCAUAGCCCAGGCCUUGUCAUGACAUAGGCUGCCUUCAGCACAGCCAACUCAUUUUCACCUACUUAUAGCCCCCAUUAUCGGCAUUUCUUUCUCCCUGGUAUACUAUCGCUCACACUUUUUCUUCUUAUCCUUGUCCCCACCCUGUCUUCAGCUUAUCUACCACUUUUCAUUGGCCUUUCAGUUUCUUUUUACAUUCCUGUUUCUUACAUGUGAUUGUCUAAGUUCCUUUUAGAAAUACCUCAGCUUAUUGUUUGAAACACUUCCUGUAGUGGUGAGCUCCACAUCCCAACUACACUGAGGAAAGACAUUUUCCCUUAUUUCCCUGUUGGAUUUAUGAGUAACCACCUUGUGAUCAUGGCCAUUCAUUUAGGAUCUUGCCCAGAGGUGGACUUAUGUCCAGGUCAGCAAGGUCCUACAUGGCAAACUGAGUAUAAAAUUAAAGCUCACAAAAUCCAAGCACAAGUUACAACUUCCAUCCAAAGUUGACUGGAUGGUAGGAAGCAAUGAAUAAUAGUCACUGGGUGUUUGUUUAUGUGACAGGAUGGUUGUUUCCUGUGAUGUUCCAAUGGGCUCAGUCCUGGGUCCUUCAGUCCUGAAUUAUAUUAUUGAUGCAGAUGAGAUGUAGGGACAUAGAAAUUUUCAUAUGAUACAAAAGAUCAUUGUGUUCUUGAUAUUAAGAACAAAAGCAGUUGAUCACAGGAAAUUAACAAUGAACUGGUCAGGACAUGAGAAAUAAAUGCAGAAUUAGACAUUUGGCCAAUUGAUCAUGGUCCACCAUCCAGUAAGCUUAUGACUGAGCUUACUGCCUGUCCCUUUUUGAUGAAAAUUCUAUUCCUCAGCCUCAAAUAUUUUCAAAAGCCAAGCCUGCAUAGCUCCCUCACUAAACACACACAAACUUUUCAAGGAAGAAAUUCCUCUUUGUCUCUGUCUUAAACCAAAACUUCUUUUCUUAAACAGUUUCCCUCUUCUAGAUUCCCCCACAAGAGGAAACAACCUCUCAGCAGCUAACUUGUCAGGUCCCAUCAGAAUUUUGUUUUUACGAGAUCAACAGUCAACCCCAAAUUAUUCCUCAAAUAAGAAACCUUUCAUCCUGGGCAUUGCCCUUUGGAACCUCUUAAGAAUUGUUUCCAAUGCAAAUAUAGCCCUCCUGAAGGAAGCAGAUUCGAGCUGUUGUUCGGACUGUAACAGGAGGAAUAUGUUGGUAAUCAAUUAAAGUACGGCCCCAUGAUA